rnacentral:rRNA from 1 species
AUUGAACGCUGGCGGCAUGCCUUACACAUGCAAGUCGAACGGCAGCACGGGAGCAAUCCUGGUGGCGAGUGGCGAACGGGUGAGUAAUAUAUCGGAACGUGCCCAGUAGUGGGGGAUAGCCCGGCGAAAGCCGGAUUAAUACCGCAUACGACCUGUGGGUGAAAGCGGGGGAUCGCAAGACCUCGCGCUAUUGGAGCGGCCGAUAUCAGAUUAGCUAGUUGGUGGGGUAAAGGCCCACCAAGGCGACGAUCUGUAGCUGGUCUGAGAGGACGACCAGCCACACUGGAACUGAGAGACGGACCAGACUCCUACGGGAGGCAGCAGUGGGGAAUAUUGGACAAUGGGGGCAACCCUGAUCCAGCGAUGCCGCGUGUGUGAAGAAGGCCUGAGGGUUGUAAAGCACUUUAGUUGGGGAGGAAGAAUCCAGAGAUGAAUAAGCUAUGGAAAUGACGUUACCCAAAGAAUAAGCACCGGCUAACUACGUGCCAGCAGCCGCGGUAA